GAAAUAACCCAGCUCCCAAAAUGAAGUGUUCAGGCGCGGAUCCCUUCGCAAACGAAUGUAAAUUAUAGGGCUAAAUUCUAAAAAUAAAGUGAAACCAGCCCUGCGCAAUUGAAUACUAGUGCAAACCAAGAGGGCUCAGCGCGCAAUUAGCCACUUAAAACCAAACGCGCUGGUCUAGUACAAGCAUGGGUUGGGUCAUCGGAUUAUGUCGUCCAAACGACGUCGUUUCUGAACCACCGAUAUUGGUUUAAACGGCACCGUUUCUGCCCUUUCAUAAGGGUUAAACAAUGCCUUUAUUUCAUCAGACCAUAUCAGAACCCUAGCCUACCAAUCUUUUCUCCUCAGCCGAACCCUACCUCUUUAGCACUAGCUCCGAUUUGCCUUCUCACACAGCAACCGACUAGUUUGGGCUCCUGAUGAUAAUUUUCGGCCUUGAGAUUCCCCUUUCAACUCCGAUUUCAACGAAGCCAAGAGGAAUCUGUGGCCGAUUCGCAAGGUAUGAAGUGUGCUGGUGCAAGUACGAGGGCUGUGCUGGCGUGUGGAGGCGCGGGCGUGGCUUCUGGAGUUACAGAGCGUACGGAGGCAUUGUCUGGUUGCUUGGCUACGGCGCGAGGGAGCACAUGUGAUGUGGUUAGGCUGCUCGUGAGGACUGCGGCGCAAGGGGCCAUUUGCCCCAGGGUUUGUCGAAAUUUGGCUUAGUUUUUAGGCCGUUUGGGCCUGUUUUGGGUAUUGGGCCAUUGUAUUUGGGCCAUGGAGUAUUGGGUUAGGUUAUUUCGUAAAUGGGCUUGUAAUUGGGCUAUCAGGUUUAUUUAGGGUUGGGUUAGUUAUUAUGCCAAAGUUUGUAAAUAGACAUUUGAUGGACUAUUAACAUUUAUAUUUAAUUUUAAUUUUUUUUUA